UACAGAGGGUGCGAGCGUUAAUCGGAAUUACUGGGCGUAAAGCGUGCGUAGACGGUUUCGUAAGUCGGGUGUGAAAUCCCCGGGCUCAACCUGGGAAUUGCAUUCGAAACUGCGAGGCUAGGGUACGGAAGAGGGAAGCGGAAUUUCUGGUGUAGCGGUGAAAUGCGUAGAUAUCAGAAGGAACAUCAGUGGCGAAAGCGGCUUCCUGGUCCAGUACUGACGCUGAUGUGCGAAAGCGUGGGGAGCAAACAGG
rnacentral:rRNA from 1 species